AGCCGGUUGUCUAGUCAGGGGGACUCGUCUUUCCGGUAGACGGUUGGCAAGAAUGUGUAAUGCGUGCUCGGGUGAAAUUGAUCAAAUCCACUUGUCUUGUAAAGAAGACAUUAAGUGAGGGAGUCCGAUUGAUACAAAUUAAAUUACGGAGCAAGCGUAGGUGUCCCAAUGAAUUAUGAAAGAGGUAGUGGUGCCGAGCAGCUCAUUUUGCUUGCCUUGUGCUUCCGCUGGUGUGUUUGAGCCGUUCCUUUCAUCUGUAGCCACAUAUGAUUUCAACUCAAUAUGCAUAACCAAUCUAAGGUACUAAAGUUUCCAACACCAGGACUGGGAAGAAUUGUUAUAAAUAUAACUCCUCCAUUUUCUUGAAUUUACCCUUAUAACAUGCUCAAAAUAACUUUAAAUAUUUACAUUUUUGUUGCAAUCCCUCUGUUCAUAUUUACGAAAGAAAGUGAACAAUAAAUGAGAAUGAUAACGAUGCGUUAGUAAUUAUGUACACAAUGA